GACGUAAUGUAUGUUAUUGUUUUUACGAUUUACAAUACAAUACGAUUUUACUAUGACACCAUCGCAGUUGGAGUAUCAUUUGUGUGGCGAUACGGCACGGUUAAUAAUGCACCACUACUCUCAUCCGAUCAAAACUUAAUAGUGGAAUAUCUGGUCAACGGUUCGACAGAAAUCGAAAAUCUCAACACUAAUAUUUAUUUUAACUAAUACUCCAU